CUGGGUGGAAACAGGAAGGUGUUGGUCUAGCCCAGAGGCCUCUCCAGACGCCUCCAUUUUAAAGAUUCUCUUCUGUUUGUUCACAGUGUAGCUUAGGUGACAUUUUGUCAUGUUUCUUGUCGCAUGUAUCUUGCUAACUCCACGGCCCCCUCCUUGAAGACAAGAGGAGCAUCUUGCAUCCUGCAUGACCCUUACACUUAUUGCUGGAGGAAGAUUCCAUCAUCCGAGGAGAUUAGGACACAGACGGGCGCAGAAGGAAGAUGAUGUGAAGAUACAGGGAGAGGACGGCCUUCUACAAGCCAAGGGCAGAGGCCUCAGAGGAAACCAAGCCUGCCACCACCUUUAUCUUGGACUUCUAGCCUCCAGAACCGUGAGAAUACACAUUUCGGCGGUUUGAGCCACCCAGCCCAAGGUAUCUGGUUAUGGCGGCUCCAGCACGCCAACACAGUCAUCUUACGGCUGUAUUUUAAAAUACGAGAUACAUUUCGUCAGUAUUUUAAGGAAUGAUUUGAUAAAAUUUUCGAGUUUUAGAGCAGGGUAAUCUCAGAUAUAUUCAAGAAGAAGAUAUUCAUUUACCAUUUUAAAAGUCUUAACAUAAAUCUGUUCAAAUUCAUUGAUUCUUUUCAGGAAGACUAUUUCUUCAAAGGAGAUUUUGAUAAAUGGGGCAGGUCGGUCAUGGAUUUAUGGCUCUUGGGGCUGCUUUCCCGAUUCUACACGUGAUUAGGCUGUCCUCCGUGCAGGGGGGCUGGCAGGGUGGCACGUGGGGGUCUACACAGAGAUUCUCGUCGCACUCCUCGAGUGCACACCGGGCACGCUGCUAGCUGCCCUCCCAAAGGUGAUUCCCCGAAUUCUCACAGUAGGCUUAGGGGAUAGGGAUCCCAUGGUACAUACGAGAAUAUCAGAACUUAAGGCAGUUAAAUAACUCCCCGUGGUCACUAGCUAAUCGCUAGGGAGAACAUUCCCUAGUUCUGAUAGGUCUAGACAGGUUAAGUCCCAGCUCCACUGCGUGCCGGCUGUGUGCCCUAAGCCAAGUGGAUUAACUUCUCUGUACCUCAGUUUCUUCAUUUAUAAAUGGGAACAAUACUACUACUCACCGGAUGGGGUUGUUGAAUGGAUUAAAUGAAAUAACGUAUGUGCUCGGCACAGAGCCUGGCACGUACAGAGUCCUCCAGUGUUAGCUGUUGCUACCAACGUAGGAAAUAUGCUGAGUAACUAUAACGUCCCACGUUACAUAGCAGUGUUUCCAAGUGCUUUCAGUUUUUGAGAUGAGGAAAGCAAGGCUGUGAGAUGUUGAGGGACUCCUCUGCGGCCCUCCGGUGUUUUGUUCUGAUUGGUGAACCCCACCCAUGUUUAGGAGGGCAAUCAGCUCUACUCAAAGUCCACCAAUUUAAAUGUUAAUCACCCCUAAAAGCAUCCUCACAGAAACAUCCAGAAUGGUGGUUGACCAAAUAUAUGGGUACUGUGGCCCAGCCACGUUGACAAAUAAAAGACUCACCAUCUCACCAUCACGGUGUCUUUGCCCAGCUCCAUCGAGAAUUUUCUGAGAGCUUUUGCUUGUUACUGAACUUCACCCCUAGGCCCCAGAUGCCCUGGGAAAGGGUGGAAGGGCUGUGGGAGAGGGCUGAGCCUUGAGCCCUACUCACUCCAUCUUUUCUCCUUCAGAAGAAAAGGGCUGGUAUGAAACAAUUUACUUUAUUGUAUCAGAUUGGUGGGGGUGUAGGUGAGCAUUUUUUUUUUCUUUUGUCAUUUCUUUUGAUAUAGUUGUAAUGUUUUCAUUAUACAUUAACUAUAAGCUUGCAUGCAACUUAAUGAACCAGAAGGAAAAUGUGUUUAUAAUCUUCUCUUUAAUUAUGGUACUUGUUUAAGGUUUGCUUAAGCAUUGUUCAUUUUUAAAAAAUCAGUUUUAUUGAGGCAGAACUGCGGACUUCAAAACUAGAUUUUUAUAACACUCUGUAUCUUUGUUGAAACUCAAAGCUUUCUUCUGCAUAAACGGAAAUCUCACCAUCUUGUAUGUCAGGGGAAGGACACACCUUGGAAACUGGCCUAAAGUACAGGGGCAAAAAUCAGCCUUUUAAGUGUUAAAACUAUAAAACAGAAAUCAUAAGGCAACAGUUGUGUGGCGGUAUUAAGAUUAUUAUAAUUAUUAGGUAAACUUGCUAAGGUCAGGAAAUAGAAAUUCUCCUCCAGUAAACAACGCAAAUAAUACGACUGUAGGAAUACUCAGCCGGCCAGAUAUCUAAAGCCUGCCAAAGGAAGGACUCCAAUAAAAACUAGACCCUUGUAUCUCGUCGCCCCGUGCCCCGGGAAGGCCAGACCUCAUUCUCCUCGUUGAGAUGGAGAAGUUCCAGGUUUUAUAUGGCUGCCACGUGGCAGGGAGCAGAUGAGACCCACAUGGUCUCUCUUUUACACCCCAAUUGAUCCAGCAUCUUUGUUGCGUGCCUGGGGCUUAGGCUCUGGUACUAGGGUACAGGGGUGAGUGGAGGAGAACUCUGGACAAAAAAGUAAAUUAAGGCCAUUGUUGCUAGUCAGCCCACCUCGAGGGAAAACAGAGUCAGUUCAAAAGUCGCAUUGUCUAUUUGGAGUUAGAGACUUCACAUCACAUAAAUGGGGAGGGCUGCCCAGAACUGGUAAAGGCAGAAGGAAAAAAGAGAGGAUGAGCACUUUAACACAAUUUACAGAUGACUGCUUUUCUCACCAAAAAAAAAUCUCCCAAACCUUGAGGAAUGGAAUUGGAGGGUGAAGGAAGGAGGGGUGCUGGCGACAGGCUUUCUCUCUCAGAGGAGGGAGUCACACCAUCAGAGCUGCGAAAAUGAAUCAUGUCUCUUCUAUCAAGGCUUCGCACAGAUUUUCUGGGAAACCUGUCAUUGAGGAUACACUAGAGAGGACUGUCCUUUUUGGUAGCUUAGCGUUUUCCGGAGGAGACAGAGUAAAUCGGUUGGGGGACUAAAUUGCAAAUUAAAAUAAAAAUUAAGGUGUGUCAUGUGGGCUACGUUUCCCUUUUAGGGGGGUCAGCAACGCCAGCCCCGUUGCAGGAGAACAUGUCAGACUGGUCGCAGCAGUGUGAAGGGCUAAUGGUGUGGUCCCAUCUUUCAUACUAGGAGCAGCUCUUUUCAGAAUAGCACCAAAGAGCAGCAGCCAUAGGGCAGCUCUAGGUUUACAAAACAGUCCCGCGUGUGUCGUUAUAUUUAAGCUUCCCUAAAGCAGAUUUCUGAUCCCUGUCUUCUUCAUGAUAGAGUCUAAGGCCACAGCUAAGGGCACACACUCUAACUCAAAUCCCAUGCUCUCCCGGCUUCAGCACAAGGUGGACGGACCCACUCUGUCUGUGGAGAGGGGCGGAGUUUCCUGUUGGCUCCCUGUUAAGAAGGACAGCAGCUGGGCGCCUGGGUGGCUCUAGCUCCAGCAGGGUGGGCUUCCUGCUCUGUGGGGAGCCUGCUUCUCCCCCUCCCUCUGCCCCUCCCCCAUCCCCCACCGCUCCUACUCUCUCCCUUUCUCUCUCUCUCUCUCUCUCUCUGGUUUUCUCUCUCAAAUAAAUGGAUAAAAUCUUUAAGGAAAAAAAGAGAGAGACCAUUUUGCCUGGGACUGAAGGAUUUUCCAGGAAAGGAGAGACUCCUGGGCAAAUUGAGACAACUGGUCACCUUACUUAUUGUGUUACCAGAGUCCUCAUAGGAGAGUCUUCAGAAACCACAUUGAGCGGUAAAAUUUUAGGAUGACAGUUACAUAUGCAUGGAAUUUGCAUAUAAUUUACUUCUACUCAAAGAAUAUUUGCAAGCAUUUUAAAAUUUAACAUUUUGCUAUUCUAAAAUUGUCAUUUUGACUACUUUUUCUUCCCUGUUUCUUCUUCAUUGUUGUCUCAAAUCUCCAAGGGGCGGAGGAGAUGGAAGAAGGACAGAAACAGGAAAAAAGAAAUCAGUAAAGACAGACAUUUGCUCCCAUAUUUAAAAUGUGGUCUUGGUUGCAGUAUACUGAGGACUGAUCUGUAGUAGUGAUUCUCAAACUUGAGUAUUGUACGGGUGGACAGCCCUAAGAUGGCCCCUAGUGAUUCCUGCCUCUUGGUAUUCAUGCUUUUCUGAAAUUCUCUUCCUUUGAGUGUAGUCUAGAUUGGGAUUUGUCUUGGGGAUGUCCCCCUCCCUACCUCCCAGACCCCCAGCUCUGGGGAAAGUCAGAGACCACGCGAUGAGGAGCUGAUGUUUCUAGCUAAUAGCCAACAGAGACCUAAAGCCUACUGAACGCCAUGCAGGGGGGCCUAGGAGUGGUUCCCCAGCAUUGGUGGAGUCUUGAGAUGAUCGCAGCCUGAACCAACACCUGACCGCAGCAUCACGAGAGAGCCUGAGCCAGAAACACAGAGCUAAAUCCAUCCCUAUUCUCGACCCAUACGAACUCUGAGCUAAUAAAUGCUGGUGGUUUUCAGCCUUUGUGUUGGAGGGUAAUUUGCCCAGAAGUAAUGAUAGCUAAUGCAAAUGUGCAUCAGAAUCCCCUAAAUAACAACUUGAUAAAAUCUGGACUUCUGAGACCCACCCAUGGAGAUUUUAUUCCGUAGAUGGGCCCCGAAGUCUUUGCUUUCCAUCAGCAAUCCUGGGAGAAUCAGAACUGAACAAAUUUUGCUUAAGAGCACGUCUCUAGAAUAAACACUCCCUGGGAAGGUCUGGAGGGAGGGGAGUCUGCAAGGGAGGUAUGGCUGCCAGAUAAAAUACAGGACACAUGGUUAUAUUUGAAUUUCAGAUAAAUAACAAAAGAUGUUUUCGCCUAAGUAUGCCCCCGUUCGGUAUUUGGGACGUAUUUAUACUGAAACAUUAUUUGUUAUCUGAAAUUCAAAUCUGACUGGGUAUUCUAUAUUUCUAAGGCUCAAUGCUAUCCAGAGGUAAGGCCCCACCGUAAGUGAAGGCCCAGUGGGAAACGAAGUGGUGCCUGCCUUUGGCAAAUGGCAGGAUUUUCAUCCCUGAGGGGCUGGUGAGGGGGCUGCAGGCUGACCAGCUGGGUCCUGCCCCUCUCCCGCCCCACGGGCAGGCUACAGUCCGGGGCCCCAUGGACUGCCUCAUCGGAGGGUUUGGGGGAGCUGCUCAGGAAACCCUCCCUCACAGCCUAGGGGGCUGGAGGCCCGAGAGGAGGUUGCAGGGUUAGUGGCUGGCCCCUCGGUGGCCAAGUGGUGGGGGCGACGAGGCCCUGUGCACCCAGCCCCAGGGAGAGGCUGGCCCCGCCUGUGUGGACGCCGCUGCCUGGUGGGCGCCACCCACAGUGCCGGGCUCUUGUUCCUUUGGGUGCGGUGUUAUCAGCCUUUUCCAGAGCAGUGAAUGGGUGCCAGGCGUCUCCCACACGCCUCCAGGGACUCAGCUGAGCACAGCUGCUCAUAGUAAAUGUGUGUGUUUCUUAUUCUGAGUAUGUCUGAGGCUCUGAGGAGUUCCAUGCAUUGCCGCUCUCCACCCUGUGAAGGAGAAGGAUGCUUCCAGAGACGUUCCUUAAGGGCUGAGGUCUUAAGAACUCUGGCUUUUAAUUCUUUUGUAUGUGCUUUCUCAUCACAGGGCAGAGUCUUAAUUUUGAUGUGUUUAUUUUCAGCUAUGAAAUGUCUUCAAAGAGAGAAUGAAUGAGAAUAUGAGUGAGUGUGUGAGUGUGAGUGCGUGUGAGUGUAUGGUGGAGAGAGAGAGAUGGGCUGGCAGACUGAAGUGCUCAAGGCAGGGGUGGAAGAUAAAGGCUCUGAACGUGUGCAGCUGCGGUAGUCAGGCUCGACUCUGUGUUGGAAGCAGACGCGCAAAGGGAGGUCUGGUCCCUGGUGCUCCGGCCCAGCCCUGCCCUGGGGUCUGACGCAAGCCCGCCAGAGCCCCCAGGAGGGGCGCUCCGCCGCCUCUCUCUCCCGAGUGCAACCGUGCAGGGCUGUGCAUUUUUGUGAGACAGGGAGAAGGUUUGGGAUCAAACGUGCACAAUCUCUGUCUGCUGGGGGGGCCCUUGAGGGCUCGAGGAGAACUCCUCGGGCGUGGCUUCCUAACACCGGCACGGCUGAAACAAAACCAAUUGGAAAAGUAGAAAGUGCAAGGAUGAUGCUGCCAUGUCACAGCUGGAACCUCAGGGGACUCCCACGGUUCGGUUCCAGGACCCUCACCGCACACGUGGCUGCCUCGGAGGGCGCGAGCGUCCCUUGGAUCCAGACACAGAGGAUGGUAUGGAGCGGGGAGGGGCCGGAUUCCAGGCUCCCACUUUGGCCUUCACCUUGGCCUCUCCGGGUGUCUGCAAAACGAACAGCUGCCCCGAGGUCUGCCCCUGCAGCAAGCGCAGGGAUGCAUGUGACGGACGCACUUGGCGCGUGGCACCCAGGAAAGGGGAGCGGUUAGUAUUUCACUGUGUGUGGUGGCAGUGCUGGGGUCAGCGGGGAGACAAAAAGCCCGGCUGAGACUGGGUUCAUACCUACUUAGAGUCUGUUGGACUGGAAAGAACCACUGGCCCGUUUAAUGCGGCCCCUGUGUUUAGAGAUGACAAGACUCGGGUGCAGACAGGCGAGGGUUUGCUCAGCAUCUCACAGCUGUCUCCCUCUCUGGAAUCCGCAUCCUGCCUGCACCUGAGGAGGAAGCCACCGCGGCUCGGAGCCCAGACCCUCCAGCGACACAGUUGCUAACGCGGCAACCCCAGAGCCCUGGGGGUCUGCUCAGAGCCGGCCGCCACCACCACUUCAGGCACAGCAGCCUCUCCCAAAGGAACGAAAGGGCCACACGCUCAACUCCUGAGAGAACCAAUAAUUAAGCACAAAGGCAAGUCUGGGUUUGAAAUUAAUGACUACGGAAUUCUGACAUGAUUUUGAGAUAAAACGAAUCGUUUACACUAAGGUGCAUCGCAGACGCAGCGUUGCUCAGGAAAAACUGCUCUGUUGAACGUAGGAGACAACGAUCCUGUCUGUUCUUUUAAUUCAUGGCCUCAGGGAGCUUGGAGAGGGGAGAGGCAGUGAGGGUUUUGAAGCUUUCAAUGCUUACUGGGCAGAAAUAGGACUUUCUCUGAAACAGGUUAGCUUUUAAGGAUGUGGCAUUGAGUACUUGGUAUGUGUUUUUCUUGUAUUUAUAUGUUUAAUCUUCAUGAUAGUCUUAGGAGAUAGGUGCCAGAAUUAUCCCAUUUUACAGAUGAGAAAACUAAGACCAAAGAGUAACUUAUUCAAGAUCAAAUAGCUAAUAAAUGGCAUCACCAGGAUUGAAUCUUAGAAUCUGGCUAGAGUCUUGCCCUUACCGACUGUGCUCUGCCACCUUGAAAGAGCCAACGUGCCAAACUUACGAGACUGGGAACUAUUGCGACAUUCCUCACAAACAUAUACUUUUCAUCCAAUUACUAGUCCAAGCUUAAGUGCAGGGGCUGAAUCUCAUGGGCCCUAAUGCCCUAGUCCAGCUGCCCUACCAUACCGCUGGUCUGGAAAUUCCCUGAAAACAUAGUGGGAUCUUUUAUAAUCUCCAGUAUCCACCCCUUACUUUAUGCUGCUGGAUGAAAACCAGGACCCAGCUCUGCUCUUCAGCCCACAAAUGCUGUAAGGAGCCAGCACCAGGCUCAGUAUUAUAGUUUUUUUUAAAAGAUACUUCCAUGAACCCGCCCCUGAGAACCCACCAAUAUCAGCUUAAAGGGAGCAGGUUGGUUCAGUGAGAACAAGGAAGGGGUGCAGGGCCUGAAAACCUAGCCCGGUGUUUUCCCUGAGGUUAUAGAGAGGCACCUAGUUUCUUAGUCCCCUCUUUCCUUUCUAUUUUGAUUCAGAGAUGAUGGUAUCAUUGCUUCUUAGGACAAGUUAGAUUAUGCGAUGAGUCCUCAGAAAUCUACAGUAAACUCGGUAGAAGUGAGGAAUACGUGGAGAAGAGGCACUUGCUGGUAAUUUAGUUUAAGUCAAUGAAUAAUUGCUCUGAUACCCUUUUUAAAAAAGAUUUAUUUAGUUAUUUGAGAGAAAGAGAGAGAGCGGGGGGGGGAAGAGAAGAGGGAAAGAGAGUCUGAAGCAGACUCUGUGCAGAGCCCGACGCAGGGCUCGACCCCACGACCCUGAGAUCACCAUCUGAGCCAAAACCAAGAAUCGGACGCCUAACUGACUGCACUGCCCCGGCGCCCCUCUGAUACCCUUUUUAUAUGUCCGGGAUAUCUGCGUACUACACACUGUGCCCGUUCCUCCGCUCCUUUGUUUUCCAUGUAACAUAACCUGUAGCACGUUCUUGAUUCAGUAUUACUGCGUAAACAUUUACCUCCUGCUUUCUCAGGACUUCAGAGAGUUUCGUUGUCUGGAUGUAUCAGAAUUUAUUUAACUAUCAUCUAUGUUAAAGAACAUCGUAACUGUGUCUCCUCUCGUGGUCUUACAAAUAAUGCUGAAAUUAUUAUUUCCACGCAUGUAUGUAUUUUUGUUUUGCCUUGGUUUUGUUCUUGUGGGGGAAAAAUUCCUAGAAGUGGAACUGCUAGGUCAGAGGAUAUUUGUAUUUAAAUUUUAAUAUUUCCAAAUCAUCCCACAAAGAGGUUGCACCAACUUGCUCUCAGUGGAAGGACUUUUAAACGCUGAGUCCAGCAGCCUUCUUAUCUGACUACAUUCUCAUACGAAAUGCAACUUUGCCGUGAAGUGUAACAGGUAAGUCAGAUGAUGAAUAUAUGAAAUGGAAUGAUGAAUAUAUGAAAUGGAAUGGAUGCAGAUGCGUUUGUCAAGAUAUUUUGAGCUGGCGAGGGGGAGGGUGGCCCCUGGAGGUGGCAAUCUCAUGGCAAAGGAGAAAAAUUGGGUGUGGUUUUCACGUCUGGCAACUGUUCUCUUGUGCGGGAUAUUUGCCAUAUCUCACUGGCACUUCCUAACUCCGUAACCCCACCCAGUGGGGGUGCUUCCGAUCCCCACCCAGGUUGGUAAAGGGAAUAUCUGUGACUCAGACUUGUACACUUUACUGAUUACAUCAGAUCAGCAUAUGGACCUCAGCUCUGUAAAAUCCACCUUUCCCUCCAAAAUGUACCCGUCAGUGUGCAUUCCUGCGUCAGGCUCGUCCACGUCUCCUGAGAAAAUAGCAAUUCCUUUGAUGUGCGCCUUCCACAAACUCCCACCUAGUCUGGAGGAUUCUGUAUGUAGGUUAUGCUGCCGUGGGACUUUCUGUCCUCACCUGAAGUUGUAGAGAAACCAGACCGGCUACAGACUGGUCAGCCGAGGAGAUGAAAGCUAUCAGCCACAGUAAGCGCUGUAGAUUAUCCGUGAACCUCCGUGUACAUACCACCCUCAUCCUUCACGACCAAGGAUGGUAAGAAGUCAAGCACAUUACUAACCAAGUUUGGAUCUGGUAUGAUUUUUCUGCAUCCUCUCAAAUAACAGUAGGUGACAGCUAGCCUCAUGUAAAAUCAUUCUUAGAUGGUAGAAAAUAAUUUCCUGCUGUGCCACGCCCAACAAAACGUGCUGAGUGUCUACCCCAUGUCCAGUCCAGGAGCAGGCACUGUGGGAAAUAUGAAAGAAAUACAGGGGCACCUCGGUAGCUCAGUCAGUUGGGAGUGUCCCCCUUCUGAAAGAAAGAAAGAAAGAAAGAAAGAAAGAAAGAAAGAAAGAAAGAAAGAAAGAAAGAAAAAGAAAUGUAAAGCAGUUGGACACAGGCCAAUCAGAGGAGGAAAGUGUCGGUGCAGAGAAGAGCCGCAAGUCAGGAGGGAGCAGGUGAAAGCUGGCCGAGAGCCGCUCUGGCGAAGGCAGGAGAGAAGCAGCCUACUUGGGAGUCACCAAAGGAGGAAUAAAUCGGGCUGAGCACCACCUGGACUGCAGAGAGCACGGGCUGCAUUCUGCUCUCUGCCUUACAGCUGUGUGGCCUGAAUCGUUCUGAGCCUCUCGUCUUCACCUGUAGAAUUAGGACAGAAAUACCGGCCCCACUUCGCUGGAUUAUUGAGAUCAGUGAGUUGGCUUACGGCACGCAGUCUGUCUCAUCAUGGGGAGUGCUCGAAAAUGUUCGCUCCCUUCCUCACUGGUCCAUCUCCGUGCCCCACCUCCCGUCUUGUGGGAAGGGAUUGCCUUUGGAGGAAAGGGGCCGAGAGGGGUGAACCGUGAUGUCUGUUUUCCAGGUGGUGCCACUGAGCAGAUGGAGAAGUUCAGGAGGGGCAACUACUCCGAAGGGGAACGUAGGGCUGGUAUGUUAUUUUGGAGUUUGAAGUGAGAGCGGGCCAGUCCUGCUGGUGGCUGGAAACCCAAGGCUGAGCGCUGGGACCUGCAGGGAAGCAGGAGUCCUGAGCUGGGAGGCCGAGGCUAUUCAAGCCACACGUGCCCCUGGACUCCUAGAAGGGGCAACAGCAGCUGUGGUGACGUGAGCAAGCCAACCUGAGGCUCGGGGCUCAGCAACAAAGACCCUAAAGGUGAAGCCGACAUCCUAUCAUUGACCAGACCGCUUGGAGAAUUAGGCACCCACCCCAGGGUCUGGCUGCUCGGUUAGGGGCUUUUAUCCGUUUCUGAGUUGACAGUGAGGAGGCUGAUGUCAGAACCCGGGGCUUCUGCCGUCAUUACUUGGCAGAGUGGGUCUGAGGGUCCCCUGGACGAACUCCUGGGAAGAGGUGAAUAUUUUCAGCUGUGUAUCUCAGACAGGUUUCCUGCCAGCGAGGGCCAGAACAAACCACAUCAUUCCAGCCACACGUACUGAGCUCCUUCCAGAGGCCAAGUGCCUGGCAUGAACAAGGCUCUGUGUGUCGAACUGGAGUUGAGAAAGGUCACGGGAAACCGAGAAACAAGCGACCAGACCUCCUCCCCUAACCACUGGUGAUAAACUGGUGGCACACUGCUGAGUCUCCAUCACACCGCCGGCUCAGAGCUACAGAACAUUCUAUCAUGUGUGUUUGGCUCAACCAUGGCUGGUUUAAGCGGUUCUUCACUGUCGGAUGUUGGAGACGUGGCCGGCCCCUCCCUCUACAGCUGCAACACACAUGCUUGUACCUGUUUUUCGUGUUUGCCAGUGUACCUUCGGGGAGGAUUCCUGGGGCACCCCCCUGCCACCGCCGCCUCCCCUGGGCCUGGCUGCAGAGCACAGCCGCCUCCCUUCCUUGCCGUGCGAGUGGACAGGCCUGGACGGCAGGAGCAGCCCCAGAAAGGCGGCCUCUUCUUCCUUUCGGCGCCCCCCACCCCCCGUCUCAUCCCAGCGCAUCCUACUGGGGCCACCCAAUUCUUCUGCAGAACUCUAGCUGUAAAGGCAUGUGGGAAGUGUAGUGUUGGGGUUUCUUGUCUCUGCACACGGGGAAGCUCCCAGAAGGGGGUUGGAAUGCCAGUCAGCACAGGGGCUCACUGACUCAAUUCCUUUGUUUUACAAAUGGGACAUCGAGGCUGGGGGCGGGGUCCGUGCUCGUGUUGCACGGUCACAUUCCGGGAACCGUGCACGGCUAACAGCCCUGGCGUUUGUUCUCUCGCUUUCACGCCCAUGCGAGCGCUUGUGAGUUCGGAGUCUCACUGAAUCCAACACCUUAGAAAGGCACAAGCCACUCCACAUGACACAAACUUCGAAUUUUCUCUAUAAAACAAAACCCCUCAUAGUCUCCUUUUGGGGGUAUUAUAACAUGUUGGUGACUGUAAUAGGCUGAAUUGUGUCCCCCCCCCCCAAAUCCAUAUGUUGAAAUCCUAACCCCCCAGCACCUCACAGUCUGAGCAAUUUGGAGCCAGGGUCUUUGAAGAGGUCAUUAAGUUCACAUGAGGUCAUGAGGGUGGACUCGAAUCCAGUGUGAGUGGUGUGUCCUAAGAAGAGGACAUUUGGACACAGGCACGGGGGGAGGAGGGGGUGAUGAGAAGACAGAGGGACGGUGGCCGCCUGUAAACCAAGGACAGAGGCCUCGGAAGAAACUAAGCCUGGCAGCACCUUCACUGCAGACUUCUGGCUUCCAGAACCGGGAGGAAAGUGCAUGUCUGUUGUCUGACCCACCCCGUCGCUGGUACUUUCUAUAGCAGCCCUAGCAAACUAAUGCAGAAAGGUCCGGUACGAAAAAACACAAACACGCACUGGUAAGAGACUAACUUGGUCUCUGUGGUAAGGUGCUUCCCUCAGUGGUUUUUGCCAUAUGCAUUCGUCCUACUGCCUUACCUCUGGAUGCUUCUGCCAAGCCAGACUCUCGCUCAGAAAGACAGUUUCUCCAUCACGCACUGUUCAGAAGUCUCUGGGGUGGUGAACUGGCUGUCGCUUGAGAUGGUCGCAGAGUCGCCACCCCCCGCGGAGGACAGCCGGAGCACCUGAGAGCUUGCACCUCAUUGGGCACUCGCUUUUUCUAACCCACCCUCUUGGGGAGCUGUGGCAAUCUUGCCCUAAAUGUGUUUUGCCCCCAUUUUCACAGGAGGUAAAUGUGGCAUGCAAAAUGCAUUUUUAAUGACUGAGAUCUGCAUUUGAGAGUAUUUUCCAUCUUUACUGGGUCAUUAAGUCUUUAAAUUCCUCAAUAUUUUAAUGAUUUUUAUAGUCCAGUGAUGUGCAGGCUUGCUCAGGUUUUCGUUCUCUGCACGCUCCCUUGCCCGUAAGAGGCUCCAGCAGGAGCUCACCAACGGGUUAUUGAACACAUGGCGCUGUUCCGGGCAGGUCCUUUCUUGGCAGCUUGUCUCUGGCACUGGCAGUCAUUAUAGCAGAAGCUCCUCUUACCCAGGCGUAGGUUCUAAAGGCAGGAAGGAUGGUCCAAAUGACCUUUGGAAAUCCUCUCGGAAGUUGCCAUGUUGGAGAUCAUGAUACCAUUUCUCAGUAAGUCCAGUAGGUCCAGCUUCCCUCCAGUGUUGGAACAGAAUAUCGUCUUUCUGUGGAACCCACGUGAAGGACUGGCCUGUGUCUGGGAGCCGUGUUAGAGCUACACAAAGCCGGGCUACUCCUUACGCAAUGAGAAGGCAGAAACCAAGACCUACUGGAAAUAGCAGACUCAUGUCCAUUCACUGAAGGGAAACGCAGGCAGAAUUUCCUGUAUUUUUUAGAGAGUGCUCCCUCUUCUCUCUCUCUCUCUGUUAAUUUUAGUUUUGCUGAACACAUUUAUAACAUGGCUCAGUACAAUAUGGCAGAGAGAGAGAGCAGUCAUUGCUUUCUCUUGGGUUCAGUGUCCUCACCUGUAAGAUGUAUGUUUUGGGGCUGAUCCUGAGGCUCCCUUCUAGACCUUCUGACAUUGGCAAGUUCAAGCUGAGGCUCUCAGCGGAGGAAGACAGGCCACCUAGGACAGCCUUAAUAACCCAGCAUUCUAGAAAAGCACCAGCCCAUUCCCCACGCUGCCUGGGAGUGUCGUAAGACAGAGUUUGGUAAAAGUAGCAAUGGGUUCUCUAGAAGAACGCCUGCUAAUUCACCCUGCUUGCCUCCAGUAACUCUUCAGUUCAGCAAACACUUUUUUUUAAAGAUUUUAUUUAUUAAUCUAUUCGAAAGAGAGAGAGAGAGCAGGAGGGAAAGGGAGAGAGAAUCUGAUGCAGAGUCCACGCUGAGCGUAGAACCCGACAUGGGGCUUGAUUCCAUGACCCUGAGAUCAUGACCUGAGCCAAGACCAGAGUCAGACACUUAACCAACUGGUCCACCCAGGCGCCCCCAGUUCAGCAAAUCUUACUGUAGCACCUGGUAAAGACAAGACAGUGUGCUCCGUAUUGGAAAGGUAAAGGCGGAUAAACUGUCCCUGACAUUGUGGAACUCCCCAUCUUGGUAUAGUUUUGAAUGUUUUAUCUUAAGUGAAAAAGCUGAGCAUUUUCUGUUUGGGGGUGCACUGAGAAAAAUGAGGGUGUAUAUCAGAAAAUCUUUUUGCCUUUAAUUAAUUUCCAAAUUCACUUCUCUUUGGGGCUGUGGAAAUCAUGAGCGCUAUUCACCAAAUAUUUCUGUUCUCCUUCAACUGAGCGCGUAGUAGGAUUAUAUUUUUCUGAGCCACCGAAUUUAAGUGUGGCUGUGUGACUUGCUCUGUCAAUGAAAUAUGAAGAGCAUGGUGGUUUUAC